CAGUCGCCACGGGAAUACGGAGGGUGCAAGCGUUAAUCGGAAUUACUGGGCGUAAAGCGCACGCAGGCGGUCUGUCAAGUCAGAUGUGAAAUCCCCGGGCUUAACCUGGGAACUGCAUUUGAAACCGGCAGGCUAGAGUCUUGUAGAGGGGGGUAGAAUUCCAGGUGUAGCGGUGAAAUGCGUAGAGAUCUGGAGGAAUACCGGUGGCGAAGGCGGCCCCCUGGACAAAGACUGACGCUCAGGUGCGAAAGCGUGGGGAGCAAACAGGAUUAGAUACCCCUGUAGUCCCUGUCUCUUAUAC
rnacentral:rRNA from 1 species